UAGGGAAUAUUGCGCAAUGGGCGAAAGCCUGACGCAGCAAUACCGCGUGAGUGAGGAAGGUCUUCGGAUUGUAAAACUCUGUCGGGAUGGAAAAAUGGCGUAGGAUCUAAUAGGUCUUACGAUUGAUGGUACAUCCAAAGGAACCACCGGCUAACUUCGUGCCAGCAGCCGCGGUAAUACGAAGGGUGCAAGCGUUGUCCGGAUUCACUGGGUUUAAAGGGUGCGUAGGCGGGGUAAUAAGUCAGUGGUGAAAGCCUACAGCUUAACUGUAGAAUUGCCGUUGAUACUGUUAUCCUUGAGGAUAGUUGAGGUAGCUGGAAUGUGUGGUGUAGCGGUGAAAUGCAUAGAUAUUACACAGAACACCGAUUGCGGAUGCGGCGUGCUAAGCCACAACUGACGCUGAUGCACGAAGGCGUGGGGAUCAAACA
rnacentral:rRNA from 1 species